GACGAACGCUGGCGGCGUGCUUAACACAUGCAAGUCGAACGAAGUGGCGAACGGGUGAGUAAUACGUGGGUAACCUGCCCUCCUUGCUGGGAUCAGCCUUGGAAACGGGGCCUAAUACCGAAUAAAGGGGGAGGGGCUCGCGUCCUUUCAGCUUGUUGGUGGGGUGAUGGCCUGCCAAGUCGGUGACGGGGGGCCGGCCUGAGAGGGUGACCGGCCACAUUGAGACGGCGCUCCGGCCCAGGCUCCUACGGGGGGCAGAAGGGGGAGAUAUUGGACAAUGGGCGAAAGCCUAAUGCCGCGGCGCCGCGUGGGGGAUGAAGGCGUUCGGGUUGUAAACCUCUGUCGCUAGCGAACGGGUAGGUGGAGAAGAAGCGCCGGCUAACUACGUGCCAGCAGCCGCGGUAAUAC
rnacentral:rRNA from 1 species